CUGCCUAUAUAAAUACACUAGUUUUCAUGAUAGGAUUAAUUGUUUCUGCAUGUCAGGCCAGAGCCCCAUGCAAGUAUAACUCCAGAAAAACUCAUCUGGCAUAAGUGUGCUAUGUAUUGAUAUUUUGGUUGGCUUGUAGUACAGGAGUGUUGCUGGGGUCUUUCUUCACUGUUGUGCUAUGCACGUCAAACUGUUUGAAAGCCCAUUAGAGAAAAACACCCAAAGUUUGUGAAAUGUUUAUAACAGAGCUUCGGUUUAACUUGAGCUAUAUAACAUUGCAGGUUCAGCUCUCCAGUGUGAAACCUGGAUGUAACUCCAUCCCUACUGCUGACACACCCAAUGACGCUGCAGAUCAGCACACUCGCAAAACUGUACUGAGCAGCCUGCUCAGUUUCUCACUGCUAGCAAGCCUUUUCUUGCUGCUACUGGGUCUGAAAUUAGUAACAAUAAAAAGAACAUUCAGAUAUCUCCCUAAGAGCAGCUGCUCCCAGAAAAGCCACAGAGGGAGCACAGAAAAUUCCCGUGGGAGAGCAUCCAUUCCAUGCCUCUGUCACGUACUAGCUGACAACAUGAUCGAUCUUAGUGUUGAAUACUCUGAAGCCGUAGCAGAGCCAGAAUUGUCACAAACUUCAUUUCUUGUCUCCAUCACCAGAGGUUACAGACUAAGAAGAUCAAAACCCCAUCAUGUGGCUGGAGUGCUGUACUAACACGAAGACAUGCUCCAAAGGGUUCUGUGUCUUGAAAAGCAAAACAGCGUGAGGAGGUCAGCAUGGUAUGGAGCACAGAUCUGUAGGAGCUGAAGUCUGAAAGGAUGAAGUGGUUCAAAUAAACUACUAUCUAUCAUUAAAAUGUGGCCAAAGAGUGGGGAAGAUAAGCUUGAAAACAGGGGCAAACGACAGAGAGCUUAUACUAAAUGGUGGAAAAGUGAUAUGCACACACUUUACCUUUUCACGUUUUCACUCCCCAG